ensembl:ncRNA lncRNA:CR45415 long non-coding RNA:CR45415
GCAAUAUGCGCAACACACACAACUCGAAAAAAAAUUGAAGAAAACUCUGGGAAAAAGAAGUGGCUGGUGGCAGUGGCAGGAAAAUUGUCAUAAAGGUGCAACUGACAACAGCAGAAGAGGCGAUGGCGAGGUUAGUAAAUUUCAAUUUAUAUGCAGAGAGAACAGUGAGUGAAAAGGCAGACGCAGGACACAGGACAUGGGGCACUACAGGAUGAGAAUGAGGAUGAGCAUGAGGACACGGGACACACACAGGACGCAGAGUCAAGGAGCCAGCGCGCAAAAAGUGUCAACGUAAU